UUUGCUGAUAAAAGAAUACUUCCUUAUUUUGCUUCCGUUUCCAGAUGCUAAUCUACCCCUCUACACAUUUGUGUUCUCCACACAGUGACGGCCGCUGAGGACGAGGACACUGGCUCCCUGAGUGUUUGUCAGUCGAUACUCGACCAGCGAACAGAACCCAGACCGGGAGAUCGGGUAACUGACGGGAUAUCUGGGAUCGGACAAUGAUCGGGAGAUCGUUCUUCCUCCUCUCCCUUCUCCAAGCCGUGGUGUCGG